GAGGUUGUAGCUCAGUGGUAGAGCACUUGCCUAGCAUGUGUGAAGCACUGGGUUCGAUCCUCAGCACCUCA
rnacentral:tRNA from 1 species